GGAUGAACGCUGGCGGCGUGCUUAACACAUGCAAGUCGAACGAUGAAGCCCAGCUUGCUGGGUGGAUUAGUGGCGAACGGGUGAGUAACACGUGAGUAACCUGCCCUUAACUCUGGGAUAAGCCUGGGAAACUGGGUCUAAUACCGGAUAGGAGCGUCCACCGCAUGGUGGGUGUUGGAAAGAUUUAUCGGUUUUGGAUGGACUCGCGGCCUAUCAGCUUGUUGGUGAGGUAAUGGCUCACCAAGGCGACGACGGGUAGCCGGCCUGAGAGGGUGACCGGCCACACUGGGACUGAGACACGGCCCAGACUCCUACGGGAGGCAGCAGUGGGGAAUAUUGCACAAUGGGCGCAAGCCUGAUGCAGCGACGCCGCGUGAGGGAUGACGGCCUUCGGGUUGUAAACCUCUUUCAGUAGGGAAGAAGCGAAAGUGACGGUACCUGCAGAAGAAGCACCGGCUAACUACGUG
rnacentral:rRNA from 1 species